UCACGUGAAGCAGCAGUGCUACCACAUCGGAAAACAGAAACUGUGUGGGGGAGCAGAGAAGCUGGCAAUAGCUGCAAACCAGGUGCCAGGGACUGUAUUAACUUGCUCCAGUGAAGACACUACAACCCAGAAGAGCAGGCGGAUAUAGCUUCAGAGUCAAGAAAAAAUUUUGCAGAAGGAAUGAAUGCCUUUAACGGCAUUGUGACCAGCUGCUGACGCCCAGAAGUCUGGUGGUUCAAGGUGUAAUCUGAGACGAAGAAACAGACUUUCCCCCUAGGUUCCCUGAAAUCCCUCCUCCCUUACUUCCUGGUUGCAUAAAAACUCCCCACUCGUUAUUUUUGUUAGGAUGAAUUUGAGAGAUCUUGCCCUCUUGCCUUCUCGCUUUGGCCAAAUGGAAUAAAUCUUCCUCUGUCUCCAA